rnacentral:rRNA from 1 species
UACGGGGGGAGCAAGCGUUGUUCGGAUUUACUGGCGUAAAGGGCGCGUAGGCGGCCAGCACAAGUCAGUUGUGAAAUCUCCGGGCUUAACUCGGAAAGGUCAACUGAUACUGUGCGGCUAGAGUGCAGAAGGGGCAACUGGAAUUCUCGGUGUAGCGGUGAAAUGCGUAGAUAUCGAGAGGAACACCUGCGGCGAAGGCGGGUUGCUGGGCUGACACUGACGCUGAUGCGCGAAAGCCAGGGGAGCGAACA